GUGCAGCAGCCAGGUGAAGAACAAACAUACUUCUGUACUGUGUCUAUCUUUUUGGACAAUUUGUACAAUUAAGAUUUGGGUUUGACAAAAGGAAAAAGCCUCUACUGAGACUCCCAGGGCCUGUUGCGAUGCACUUACCCACAGUGACACCACAGACCCACCCAGAAACACCACAACCUUCAAUGUCACCUCUGCAGAAGCUGCUGACCGGCCGACACCACCAUCCCUGCCUCUCCUGCCGGCAUUAAGUGGCUAACUGAUGUAGUGAAAUGUGUAAUGGAUGGCGGUCUCAGUGGAAGGAUUUAUCUGCUAAAUCCCAGCAGUUGGCCCUGCAAUCAUGGACAAUGACCCCAAAGAAUGUCAACAGCUCCUUUCCACCAGAGCCGAGUUUAUGUGUUUGUGUUGUGGGGACGGGGAGGUGCUGUAUGUACGCUGCUGCUGCUGCCGUGAUGAGAUUGAUACAAGGCCGACAAAUCAGCCGCUCAAGGUUUUAGGUAAAAGAUGCCGAGUCAAGUUAAUUUAAACGACUACAAAAUGCACCGCUGUUUAAUGUUAAUGUAAUUCAACAAGAAAACCAAAGUGAAGAAAAAGCUUGAACAUUCAGGGGCAUUUUACAACUAAAUAUAUUAUAGGUUAAUGAUCUUUGUAGUGACAUGCAUGUAGAUUUUCACACAUUAGCUACAUAUAACCAUAGAAAACACAGAAGGAGAGCAGAAACAAUUAGCCGGUUGCAAAAAUCUACCAAGUUUUUGUCUUUUUCAUCCUACAUUAUAGUAAAUUCUAAAAAAACAAACAUUAAAAGUUCUAAUCUUGGACUCUUGAGGACAUUAUAAAUUAAAAAAAAAGAUUUUUUGAUGCUGUAGCCACAUUUCUUUGCUGUUUAAAGCAAUAUUUCAGUCUAAAUUUACAGUUUCAUAAAUUUGUUUGAGUAACUGCAUGUUUUGUGUUCACUCAGUGUUUGUACACUGCAGUUUUUUGGAAAUGAUUGAAUAAAGUCAAAUCAGCAAAUCAUUCAAUCGAUUUUUUUGCUUCACUGUGACUUCUGCUCCUCAGCAAAGAUUAAAGUCAGGGAUCAGAGAGAGCAUGAGCCAAGGACAGGAGAGUGAGCAAAUCCAAAACACUUCAA